GUGAAAAGGAUUGAGUGUAAGAACACAAUUUCUCUGAAUCCAAGACUACACCCAGCACAGUAGCAUUGUCAGUAAUUCAACAACUAGACAAGAAAUCAUGAGGAGAUAUUGGGGAGCUCUGCUGGGGCUCCUAUGGCUCCAGGUUUGCUGGGUGAGAGGGAUGACGGUGGAGCAGAACCCUUCACACCAGAGCCUCCAGGAGGGAGCCAUCUCUACUCUCAAGUGCAAUUUCUCUAAUGCAGUGAACAAUGUGCAGUGGUUCCGACAGAACCCCGGGGGCGGCAGUCUCACCCGGCUGUUUUUCAUAGCUUCAGGGAUGAAGCAGAGUGGAAGGUUAAACUGCACAGUGAAUAUUAAGGAUCGGUCCAGCACCCUCCACAUCAGGGCCUCCCAACUGGAAGACUCAGCCACCUACCUGUGUGCAGUGGAGGCACAGUGCUUCUUGGUGAUCUGCAGCCUGCACCCAAACUGCAGCUGUGCCUGUAGGCCCCACCCUUCCCUGGGUUGUACAUUUGCCCCCAGAGCAGGCUUUGCACAUUUUCAGACUUUCAGAUUUAUGUUAGGGCACUUUUUUUCUCUCCUAAAAUUAGACCCAUCAGGGCUUUCAUUUCACUUACUUGCCCUUUUUCCUCCCAGAAAGCCCUUUGCAGGUAAAAACCUCUACCAUGGAGUCACUGGAGCAAGUGAUAGAAAUGCCCAUAUCCAGUACCCUGGGAAAACAGAUGUCCUAGCAGCUAGCAUAUAAAUUAUCUGUAAGUAGUCAAAUGGAAAAUGCUCAAAAAAUUCAGUGGUCAUCAGUAAACAAAGAGAUGACUAAAUUUUUUAGUUAUCUGUGGGUGGUUCUUUUUCAAAGAAAUGUAAAGAGAAUAUGCACAAUGUUUUCUAAAGUCUGUAUUCAGCUUUUUACUCCUGGAAACACAAAUAC